GAAUCAACGGAUUCUCAGUGUUCCUGCUAAUAAGGGUCAAUGAGUAGGGAAACAGCGCACCUGGGAAGAGGGCAGCACUCCCAUGUUUGACCACAACCCGGUGAAGCGUUAUCUCUCAGCGUGGCUCGCACUUGCCAGAGUAGCUUCAGAACGACCACUGCGCAUGUGAGGGCACGUCAGUGUGCAUUGGAGCCCCUCGGCCAGGAGGACGAAUACCAUGGGCACCGAGGAGGACACUGCCGGGGGCUUCAGGGGUCUCAGGGACUCUGAGCAACUUCAGUCUGGAGUUGCUUUUAUGGGAUCAGGACCAGGGACCAGGGCUGGACUGUCCAGUCACAGGAGAGGUAAGGGGAGAGGUGUGUAGUCGGUGCUGACAGCCUGCUCCACUGAUAUCCACCUUUUCUGAUGUGUGGUAUUCCGGGUAAAGCAAUUGUCCUUUUAGUUCAAGCAAUAAAUUUUCAGGUUUGUCUGUUUAAAGGGCAGGUGGUUGGGACUGCUAUUUUUUGCCUGUGGCAAACCCGCAAUGUAAACCAAUGUGGUCUGGGCGGGAAGAAAUAAUCAAAUGCAAAGCGGAGGCUCAGGUCCCUGAAGGCCAGAGGUACACGAUGAAGUGAGCCGUAGAAUGGCCAUGGGCAGGUGUCUGCAGGAGCAGCAGGCCCAGGGUCAGGGCUAGGUCCCCAGCCUGCAGACCGCUCUCUUAUGCCUAGGCUACCCUGAUUCAUUCCGAGGUGGAGUCCAGAGCUCCCAGUGCCCUUACCAGCAUCCUGUUAAGC
rnacentral:lncRNA from 1 species